rnacentral:rRNA from 1 species
AGAGUUUGAUCCUGGCUCAGAGCGAACGCUGGCGGCAGGCUUAACACAUGCAAGUCGAACGGGCUUCUUCGGAAGUCAGUGGCAGACGGGUGAGUAACACGUGGGAACGUGCCCUUCGGUUCGGAAUAACUCAGGGAAACUUGAGCUAAUACCGGAUACGCCCUUAUGGGGAAAGGUUUACUGCCGAAGGAUCGGCCCGCGUCUGAUUAGCUUGUUGGUGGGGUAACGGCCUACCAAGGCGACGAUCAGUAGCUGGUCUGAGAGGAUGAUCAGCCACACUGGGACUGAGACACGGCCCAGACUCCUACGGGAGGCAGCAGUGGGGAAUAUUGGACAAUGGGCGCAAGCCUGAUCCAGCCAUGCCGCGUGAGUGAUGAAGGCCUUAGGGUUGUAAAGCUCUUUUGUCCGGGACGAUAAUGACGGUACCGGAAGAAUAAGCCCCGGCUAACUUCGUGCCAGCAGCCGCGGUAAUACGAAGGGGGCUAGCGUUGCUCGGAAUCACUGGGCGUAAAGGGCGCGUAGGCGGCCGAUUAAGUCGGGGGUGAAAGCCUGUGGCUCAACCACAGAAUUGCCUUCGAUACUGGUUGGCUUGAGACCGGAAGAGGACAGCGGAACUGCGAGUGUAGAGGUGAAAUUCGUAGAUAUUCGCAAGAACACCAGUGGCGAAGGCGGCUGUCUGGUCCGGUUCUGACGCUGAGGCGCGAAAGCGUAGGGAGCAAACAGGAUUAGAUACCCUGGUAGUCC